rnacentral:rRNA from 1 species
UACAGGAGGGUGCGAGCGUUGUUCGGAAUUAUUGGGCGUAAAGGGCGCGUAGGCGGUGCGGUAAGUCACCUGUGAAAUCUCCUGGCUCAACUGGGAGCUUGCAGGCGAAACUGCCGUGCUGGAGUGUGGGAGAGGUGCGUGGAAUUCCUGGUGUAGCGGUGAAAUGCGUAGAUAUCAGGAGGAACACCUGUGGCGGAAAAGCGGCGCCUGGACCACAACU